rnacentral:rRNA from 1 species
GUGGGGAAUAUUGGACAAUGGGCGAAAGCCUGAUCCAGCCAUGCCGCGUGUGUGAAGAAGGUCUUCGGAUUGUAAAGCACUUUAAGUUGGGAGGAAGGGCAGUAAGUUAAUACCUUGCUGUUUUGACGUUACCGACAGAAUAAGCACCGGCUAACUUCGUGCCAGCAGCCGCGGUAAUACGACGGGUGCAAGCGUUAAUCGGAAUUACUGGGCGUAAACCGAGCGUAGGUGGUUUUGUAAGUUGGAGGUGAAAUCCCCGGGCUCAACCUGGGAACUGCCUCCAAAACUGCAUGACUAGAGUACGGUAGAGGGUAGUGGAAUUUCCUGUGUAGCGGUGAAAUGCGUAGAUAUAGGAAGGAACACCAGUGGCGAAGGCGACUACCUGGACUGAUACUGACACUGAGGUGCGAAAGCGUGGGGAGCAAACAGGAUUAGAUACCCUUGUAGUCC